ensembl:lincRNA uncharacterized LOC102023102
GUGUCCGCACUGCAGGGACCUGGGCAGGGUAGAUGCUCUCUAUUUCUUAGUACAACCAUGUGCCUUGUAUCAGACCUGAUCUCACAUUCAUGAAUAGUUCCAAGAAAUUCUGAUCUUUCCUGGUAUCACAGAAUAAAAGCAUAUGAGAGCUGGCAUUGAAAUCUAAUGUAUUCUGAGAAAUACUUGAUGUGGAAAAGCAGUGAGAAAGGACAUGGUAGGCUCAGCUGUAGAACCUGGAGAGUAGGUACUAACCUUGGACUACAGGACCCUGAACAUCGCUACCCAAUUAUAGAAUCAAGCACCGAAAUCUGGAGAUGAGAUGUCUGUGUGUGUCUGAGGGCAGUGGCAGUCGGUAAGAGAAAUGUAAUUCAGUUUUUAAGGUUUAUUUUUAUCACCUGAGUCAAUGUGUUUUUCAGCUUGUGCUCUUGUGAGCUACCACAACUCAACACUCAUGAACUGACACAUGCAAGAUCUCCUCUACUGGAGUCCAAUUCUAACAAUUAUUGAUCUGUUGCCCUGGAAACAAAUCUUAUCUCUGGAGAUCUCAUCCAGUCCUGGCAUUGCCAUGGUAGUGGGGCAUUUUCCAGCAGGUGUAAGGGCAUGCACGUUAUCAGCCUGGAAAUGUGAGCUGCGGACACACAAAAUGAGAAGGAAUGACGGGAAAUUUGCUCUCAAAGUCUACCUGAGUGUGCUAUUCCCAUCUUCAAUCACCACAACAGUCUGUGCAAAAGAGUCUUCUUUCUUCAGCUUUUGUGUCUCGGAACCGGUCUUGGCUAUGACUGCGUGGAUCGCUGUGUGGACUUUACCCGGAAGUUGCCACCUCGGGUGCUGAUCGAAGCUGUAUUUCUGGGAAGAUUUUAUCAAUUCUGAAAAGCGCUAAGAUUACGUUGUUCACAGAAGAACUCAAUUUUUCCCAUUUUCCCCCAUCUAAUAACAAGAAAUGACAAAAGUAAUUUGCACUAAUCCAGACGAGAAAAACAGGAAGAAGAACACAGUGAUGAAGAUUUAAUUUCUGUAAAUUACUCUUAAUAUAUGAUUUUAGAAACAUCCCACACAGACACCCUGGCUUUGAGCUUUGGGUGGAAAAAUUGAUUUGGGAGCAAGCUUGAUCCCCUAUCCACCAACAUGACAAGUACAAUAAUAAAUAGAUUAUCCAUAUCAGCUGAUAAGAAUGCAACCCCACGGCUAGACUGCAGCAGAUGUUUCCUUGUAUGACACGUUGAUAGAAAAAUGGGCAGGGGACAUUUAAAAUUCAUUGCAGGGAGACUCUAUAUUAUAAUGAAUCUCAUUAAUAGUAAUUAGGAUUUUUUCCUCCCAGGCUACCACAGUUGAUGCCCUCCCUUUUAUAGGUCAAAAGAGCUUAAAUACGCAACAGCCUCUAGCAACUGACAACAUCGUUUUGCUUCUGAAGAAUAUGUCACACGCUUUAAGUCGCUUGUAAGCAGGAAAUGUUUGUUACCUUCUUGCAUGAGUACCCAAAGGGGCCUGACGUAGUCACAUUGCAGGCUUUUAAGACGUGAUGGCUCAGAAGGGAAAAGCGUCCAGGGCCCCACAAGGCCAUCACAGUGACAGGAGGGUGACAGGCCAGAGCAACCCCUUUUCUCUCCUGUGUAAAGAAUUCCUUCGAAUCCACAAUGGAAAACCGGA